rnacentral:rRNA from 1 species
CGCAGCCGCGGUAAUUCCAGCUCCAAUAGCGUAUAUUAAAGUUGUUGCAGUUAAAAAGCUCGUAGUUGAAUUUCGGGGUUAGUAGGUUGGUCAUGCCUCUGGUAUGCACUGGCCUCACUGAUUCCUCCUUCCUGAUGAGCCGUAAUGCCAUUAAUUUGGUGUUGCGGGGUAAUUUGGACUGUUACUUUGAAAAAUUGAGUGUUUAAAGCAAGCUAACGCUUGAAUACAUUAGCAUGGAAUAAUGAAAUAGGACGUUCGAUCCUAUUUGUGGUUUCUAGGAUUGACGUAAUGAUUAAUAGGGAUAGUUGGGGCAUUAGUAUUCAAUUGUCAG